AUACUGUUAACUUUCUGAUUUUGGAGUAUUUUAGGAACUGGGAGGUGUUUAUUUCACAUUUCUAAACAAAUGGUUAUCCAUUGCCAUGGCGAUGGAGAAAAUGUGAUUAUCAGAAUGCCAAGUAAUCAGGCUUCUCUCACACACUGUCCGCAGUGCAGUUGUUUUCUUGUACAAUUUAAAGAAAUCAUGCUGUUUUGCUCUUUCCUAGGGCACUCAUGGGGUUAACAGAUCUAAUGCAC